rnacentral:rRNA from 1 species
CCUACGGGCGACAGCAGUGGGGAAUAUUGCACAAUGGGGGAAACCCUGAUGCAGCGACGCCGCGUGAGUGAAGAAGUAAUUCGUUACGUAAAGCUCUAUCAGCAGGGAAGAAAUACUGACCUUACGGUCAGCAGACGGUACCUGAGUAAGAAGCCCCGGCUAACUACGUGCCAGCAGCCGCGGUAAUACGUAGGGGGCAAGAGGUAUCCGGAUUUGGCGGGUGGAAAGGGAGCGGAGGCGGUGCGCCAAGUCUGGAGUGAAAUGCCCCAGCCUAACUGCGGAACUGCUUUGGAAAGUGGCGAACGAGAGGGCGGGAGGGGUAAGCGGGAUUCCUAGUGGAGCGGUGAAAUGC